AGAGUUUGAUCCUGGCUCAGAAUGAACGCUGGCGGCGUGGCUAAAACAUGCAAGUCGAACGGAAAGGCAAAAUUUGAUCCUUCGGGUGAAGAAUUUUGUACUCGAGUGGCGAAAGGGCGAGGAAUACUUGGGUAACGUACCUUGAACUUAGGGAUAGCUGCGGGAAACUGCAGGUAAUACCUGAUGAUGUUCUGGAAUCUUCUGUUUCCAGAAUCAAAGAUGGGGAUCCUUCGGGACCUGUCGGUUUAAGAGCGGCCCAAGUCCUAUCAGUUUGUUGGUGGGGUAAUGGCCUACCAAGACAACGACGGGUACCGGGACUGAGAGGUUGAUCCGGCGCAUUGGGACUGAGACACUGCCCAGACUCCUACGGGAGGCUGCAGUAACGAAUAUUGGACAAUGAGCGAAAGCUUGAUCCAGCGACGCCGCGUGUAGGACGAAGUCCUUCGGGAUGUAAACUACUGUCAGGGACCACCAAGCAAGGGGCGCUAAUAUCGCCCUGCGUUGAGGAAUCCCAGAGGAAGCAACGGCUAACUCCGUGCCAGCAGCCGCGGUAAGACGGAGGUUGCGAGCGUUAUUCGGAAUCACUGGGCUUAAAGAGCACGUAGGCGGACUGUCAAGCGUUUUGUGAAAGCCCUCGGCUUAACCGAGGAAUUGCUUGGCGAACUGGCAGUCUUGAGGCAGGUAGGGGCAACGGGAACUCAUGGUGGAGCGGUGGAAUGCGUAGAUAUCAUGAGGAACGCCAGAGGCGAAGGCGCGUUGCUGGGCCUGUCCUGACGCUGAGGUGCGAAAGCGUGGGGAGCGAACGGGAUUAGAUACCCCGGUAGUCCACGCCCUAAACGAUGUCAACUAGGCCGGAGGUACUCUGACGUGUUUCUGGCCGAAAUGAAAACGUUAAGUUGACCGCCUGGGGAGUACGGUCGCAAGGCUAAAACUCAAAGGAAUUGACGGGGGCUCACACAAGCGGUGGAGCAUGUUGCUUAAUUCGAUUCAACGCGAAGAACCUUAUCCUGGGUUUGACAUACUUGGAUGCCUCCAUGGAAACAUGGUUGGUUGCCCUUCGGGGGUGAAACUUGUACAGGUGCUGCAUGGCUGUCGUCAGCUCGUGUCGUGAGAUGUUGGGUUAAGUCCCGUAACGAGCGAAACCCUUAUUGUUAGUUGCCAGCGAGUCAUGUCGGGGACUCUAACAAGACUGCCGGUGUCAAACCGGAGGAAGGUGGGGAUGACGUCAAGUCCUCAUGGCCUUUAUACCCAGGGCUGCAAACGUGCUACAAUGGGGUGUACAAACCGACGCAAGACCGCGAGGUGGAGCAAAUCGGAAAAAACACUCCUCAGUUCGGAUUGGAGUCUGUAACUCGACUCCAUGAAGUUGGAAUCGCUAGUAAUCGCGUAUCAGCGUGACGCGGUGAAUGAGUUCCUGAGCCUUGUACACACCGCCCGUCAAGUCAUGGAAGUCGGUAGUACCCGUAGUUGGGGCAAUUCAGCCUGGGACUAAGUCGUAACAAGGUAGCCGUAGGGGAACCUGCGGCUGGAUC
rnacentral:rRNA from 1 species